rnacentral:rRNA from 1 species
CUACAACGGAGAGUUUGAUCCUGGCUCAGGAUGAACGCUGGCGGCGUGCUUAACACAUGCAAGUCGAACGAACCUUCGGGUUAGUGGCGGACGGGUGAGUAACGCGUGGGAAUCUGCCCUCAGGAGGGGGAUAACGGUUGGAAACGGCCGCUAAUACCCCAUAUGCCGAGAGGUGAAAUGAAUUUCGCCUGAGGAUGAGCCCGCGUCUGAUUAGCUAGUUGGUGAGGUAAGAGCUCACCAAGGCAUCGAUCAGUAGCUGGUCUGAGAGGAUGAUCAGCCACACUGGGACUGAGACACGGCCCAGACUCCUACGGGAGGCAGCAGUGGGGAAUUUUCCGCAAUGGGCGAAAGCCUGACGGAGCAACGCCGCGUGAGGGAUGAAGGCCUCUGGGCUGUAAACCUCUUUUAUCAAGGAAGAAGAUCUGACGGUACUUGAUGAAUAAGCCACGGCUAAUUCCGUGCCAGCAGCCGCGGUAAUACGGGAGUGGCAAGCGUUAUCCGGAAUUAUUGGGCGUAAAGCGUCCGCAGGCGGCCCUACAAGUCUGCUGUUAAAAAGUGGAGCUUAACUCCAUCAUGGCAGUGGAAACUGUUGGGCUUGAGUGUGGUAGGGGCAGAGGGAAUUCCCGGUGUAGCGGUGAAAUGCGUAGAUAUCGGGAAGAACACCAGUGGCGAAGGCGCUCUGCUGGGCCAUCACUGACGCUCAUGGACGAAAGCCAGGGGAGCGAAAGGGAUUAGAUACCCCUGUAGUCCUGGCCGUAAACGAUGAACACUAGGUGUCGGGGGAAUCGACCCCUCCGGUGUCGUAGCCAACGCGUUAAGUGUUCCGCCUGGGGAGUACGCACGCAAGUGUGAAACUCAAAGGAAUUGACGGGGGCCCGCACAAGCGGUGGAGUAUGUGGUUUAAUUCGAUGCAACGCGAAGAACCUUACCAGGGUUUGACAUCCUGCGAAUCUCUUGGAAACUUGAGAGUGCCUUCGGGAGCGCAGUGACAGGUGGUGCAUGGCUGUCGUCAGCUCGUGUCGUGAGAUGUUGGGUUAAGUCCCGCAACGAGCGCAACCCACGUCUUUAGUUGCCAGCAUUUAGUUGGGCACUCUAGAGAGACCGCCGGUGAUAAACCGGAGGAAGGUGUGGAUGACGUCAAGUCAUCAUGCCCCUUACAUCCUGGGCUACACACGUACUACAAUGCUACGGACAAAGGGCAGCAAGUUCGCGAGGACAAGCAAAUCCCAUAAACCGUGGCUCAGUUCAGAUCGUAGGCUGCAACUCGCCUACGUGAAGGAGGAAUCGCUAGUAAUCGCAGGUCAGCAUACUGCGGUGAAUACGUUCCCGGGCCUUGUACACACCGCCCGUCACACCAUGGAAGUUGGCCACGCCCGAAGCCGUUACUCCAACCCUUGUGGAGGAGGACGUCGAAGGUGGGGCUGAUGACUGGGGUGAAGUCGUAACAAGGUAGCCGUACCGGAAGGUGCGGCUGGAUCACCUCCU